rnacentral:sRNA from 1 species
AUGGACACAUGUACAAAAGAUCACUCGUUCGUCAACCGAGCUACAAUCAUAGAACUACUUGAACAACUGAGAGAAGAAGCCAAUAUGAAAAGAAAGACACGUCUUGAUUUCGAUGACCCAGAAUCGAUGACAGAUGAUGAUUAUGUAACUCUGACUGGUCUCAGAAAAAGGGAUUUUGAUGACAUACUGACAUAUGUCAGCUCCGCAGAUGUUAGACCGUCAAGAUCAAGAAGCAUUAAAACAUGCAUUGCUGUACUUCUCACAAAGUUGAGAACAUCUUUGGAUAACAAACUGCUCGCUGUGCUGUUCAAUAUGUCUAAACCACAGACAAAACUAGAUGAAGCGGAUGCGGAUCUAGAUGACUUUCCUAGGUUUCACAGAAGACGAGGUCCGGGAAUUGACUCUAGGCGUUUACCAGGUGAAGUUGGCAAAACACUAUACCGCAGAGCACACAAACCAGGAUGGGACAUACGAGAUAUGGAUUGACAAGCAACUUCCUGGUCUUCUUGUAUCCAAACUACAGAG